GUGCUCACUCCUGCAGCACAUAUACUAAGAUUGGAACCAUACAGAGAAGAUUAGCAUGGCUCCUGCGCAAGGAUGACAUGCAAAUUUGUGAAGCGUUCCAUAUUUUU
rnacentral:snRNA from 1 species